AAGAGUUGCAAAACUCCCACAAACCAUCGCGAACGUUACCCAGACGUCGUUGCUUCGGCGGGCUCGCCCGCCGGGGGGACGCCACCAGACUCUUGCAGUGAUUCGGCCUCUCUGAGUAUGAUUUGUAAAUAAGUCA
rnacentral:misc_RNA from 1 species